rnacentral:rRNA from 1 species
UACAGAGGGUGCGAGCGUUGUCCGGAAUCACUGGGCGUAAAGGGUGCGUAGGCGGCCGUGCAAGUCUGGCGUGAAAGCCCCGGGCUCAGCCCGGGAAGUGCGCUCGAAACUGCGCGGCUCGAGCGCCGGAGGGGAGAGUGGAAUUCCUGGUGUAGCGGUGAAAUGCGUAGAUAUCGGGAGGAACACCAGUGGCGAAGGCGACUACCUGGCCUGUUCUUGACGCUGAGGCGCGAAAGCUAGGGGAGCAAACAGG